rnacentral:rRNA from 1 species
CUUUAUUGGAGAGUUUGAUCCUGGCUCAGGAUGAACGCUGGCGGCGUGCCUAAUACAUGCAAGUCGAGCGAAUGGAUUGAGAGCUUGCUCUCAAGAAGUUAGCGGCGGACGGGUGAGUAACACGUGGGUAACCU